UGGUGGAGUGAUUUGUCUGGUUGAUUCCGUUAACGAACGAGAUCUCGACUCUUCAAUGACAGUUCGAUUGUAUUGCAGUUCAGUGCUCAAGCCUCUGGUUUCGACGCUGAACGAGAUCGUUUCUAGUACUCAAGGUGACGAUGCAUGUCUACAAUGCAUGGAAGUGCGAGCCAAUAGCA
rnacentral:rRNA from 1 species